GUAGGUGGCAAGCGUUAUCCGGAAUUAUUGGGCGUAAAGCGCGCGCAGGCGGUUCUUUAAGUCUGAUGUGAAAGCCCACGGCUCAACCGUGGAGGGUCAUUGGAAACUGGAGAACUUGAGUACAGAAGAGGAAAGCGGAAUUCCACGUGUAGCGGUGAAAUGCGUAGAGAUGUGGAGGAACACCAGUGGCGAAGGCGGCUUUCUGGUCUGUAACUGACGCUGAGGCGCGAAAGCGUGGGGAGCAAACAGGAUUAGAUACCCUGGUAGUCCACGCCGUAAACGAUGAGUGCUAAGUGUUAGGGGGUUUCCGCCCCCCUUAGUGCUGCAGCUAACGCAUUAAGCACUCCGCCUGGGAGUACGGCCGCAAGGCUG
rnacentral:rRNA from 1 species